rnacentral:lncRNA from 1 species
AUGGGUCUCGAAAGAGGAUUAAGCCAGAAGCCGCGUGAGGAGCUGGCCGAGGCGGGAGGGGCAGGGAGCAGGCUUGGGUCCCCGUCGGGGCUGAGACCCACCCUGAGGGUCUGCCAGGUGGGCACCGCCUGGGCUCGCUCGCCCGGGCCCGCUCAGGCCUUCCGCGUCUCUGAUCCUUCCUGCUCCGCAUGGAACCACAUCCCUCGGCCCCCCGCCCUGCGCCGCCCGGACCCCCAGCCUCCUCCUGGCCCUGCCCGACCCCACAGCCAGGGGACGGCCCGGCCGGGCAGGGCCAGGAGCCGGGAGACACAGCCAUCUGAUCACAGCAGUGCCCUCUGCCUGGACUCCAGGCGCCGGGGCCUCAAAGGCCUGGGUGUGGGGCCGGCCCUGCCCCACCUCUCGCCUAGUGUCCAGUGGACACGCCGGACCCCGCCCAGGGGACUGCGCAUGGCUGUCCCCUCCGUGCAGCUCGCUCGGCCCGGCCCAGAAUUUCUGAGACCUCAGAUUUCAGCCCAAACGUCACCUUCUCAGACAAGCCCACUGGUCGUCCGUGUCCCCGGGUCCCGGCUGUGGUGGGGAAGGGGUCCUGAGGCCCCUGAGAAGCCCCCCCCCACAGCCCUGGUAGCAUGUGCGCAGCCCCCACGCAUGGGCAGGACCCCGUGCCUCAGUUUCCCCAGCCGCCGGGCUGCGUGCGCUUGGGCGCCCGGAGCUGGUGAUUCUGAGCUGCCUCACGCGCCGGCCUCUGUGCGCAGCAGCCGGGUCAGGGGUCGGGGUCAAGGUCGGGCCCCGCUCCUGUGCGCACCCCUCGCAGGCUGUCCGGCCCGGGGUCCGGGCCUCCCUCUCAGGGCCGCUGUCGGUGGGGCAGGAGGCCGGAGCGCCGAGGGGUCGCGGGCGUCCCCCCGACCUCCCGGCAGUGGCCGCGCGCCCCAGCCUCUCUCGGCCUCCGCUGCGGAGCGCGCGUCCGCCCGCACCGCGUCUCCACCGGCCUCCUCGCUCCACCUAGCGGCGGCUGGAGCCCGGAGCCGCGCGGGGCCCAGAGAGGGCACGGGGCCUCCAGGGGCGCACAGCAGGGUUCGGGCCCAGAGAGGGAGCAGGGCCCCCCCCCCCGCCCCCCCACCCCUGGGGCGCACAGCGGGGGUCGGGCCCAGAAAGGGCACGGGGCCGCCGGGGCACACAGCGGGGCUCAGGACCGGAGGAGGAGGCACAGGGUCACCAGGCGCACAGCGGGGUCGGGGCCUCAGCAGGGCUGCGGGGCCGCACGUGGGGAGCCGAGGGGGCACCACCAUGACAGGUGGGGCCUCAUCCCUGCCUCUGCUCAUCUUGGUCUGGCAAAGAGUCACAGUCUCUCGUUACAAGGUUGGGAAACUGAGUCACGGAGGGGACCCGCCCCUCCCCCCCCCCGGGGAUCACACAGAAAGUCAGACGAGUUCUAACCAAUCUCCGGGGUCCUGGGACCCCAUUUAUGCCCUUCUUCCUCCCCCGACGGAAAGAGAGGGGGCCCAGGGUGCAGGCGAAGGGGGAGGCCGGGGUGCGUGUGGCCAGGUGGUGGGGUGA